UACAGAGGGUGCGAGCGUUGUCCGGAAUCACUGGGCGUAAAGGGCGCGUAGGCGGCAAUUCAAGUCAUCUGUGAAAUCUCCGGGCUUAACUCGGAAUGGUCAGGUGAUACUGCUUUGCUAGAGUGCAGAAGGGGCAAUCGGAAUUCUUGGUGUAGCGGUGAAAUGCGUAGAUAUCAAGAGGAACACCUGAGGUGAAGACGGGUUGCUGGGCUGACACUGACGCUGGAGGCGCGAAAGCUAGGGGAGCAAACGGG
rnacentral:rRNA from 1 species